rnacentral:tRNA from 1 species
GUGGGAAUAGCUCAGUGGCAGGGCAUAUGCUUAGCAUGCACAAGGUCCUGGGUUCAAAUCCUGGUACCUCCU